CAAGUAUAAAAGGAUUUUACUAAGUAAUAUGGGAAUUACAACCUCUCUCUACUAAUAGGAGAACAAUUGAAACCUCUCUAUUACUAGGAGAAAACACCUCACUUACUCUCUCACAAAUACCUCAUAAUUUUAUGGGAUUA